rnacentral:sRNA from 1 species
GUGAACUACCACUGAGCUGAAGACGCAGCGGCUUCUUCGGAAAUCGUCGGGUCUGCGGUUUGGGAGCUUUUUAGGAAGCUCAAGUUCACCAGACUCCUCAUCAGAAAUGAUGAGACCGUUUGAAAGGUCAUGACACCUGCGGUUGACGCAUCAGACCGCUGCUCUGUCGCCUGGGUUUAAGUAGGGCUGAGGAAAGGCCCGGUGAUCCAGGUGCAAAAAGCCUUUUGAACACUGUCGAGAUGAGGUCGGAUUCCCUGCAUGGUCACAGUGCA